rnacentral:misc_RNA from 1 species
UCAAACUUGGUCAUUUAGAGGAAGUAAAAGUCGUAACAAGGUCUCCGUUGGUGAACCAGCGGAGGGAUCAUUACCGAGUUUUCAACUCCCAAACCCCUGUGAACAUACCUCGACGUUGCUUCGGCGGGACCGCCCCGGUCGCCCCUCGCGGGCGGACCGGAACCAGGCGCCCGCCGGAGGACCACAAACUCUUGUUUCCUAAUAGUGGCAAUACUCUGAGUAAAACAAAAAAAUAAAUCAAAACUUUCAACAACGGAUCUCUUGGCUCUGGCAUCGAUGAAGAACGCAGC